GAGUAAGAAUUUGUAAUUUGUAUAUAUCGUGUGGAGUUCGAAUAAAAUUUGUUAACUAUCGUUUAUCAGUUGUUAAAAAAGAUCUGAACUCCCAUUCCGAAUCCAUUGUGAGCCAAGCUCAUUGAACAUCAGCCAAGCUCGUCAGCUUUAUGAUCGGACUUCAAAACAAUGGCCAGGACGAUACUAGAGUGCCCAGGAGAAUACAUUUACAUAUUGCAGUGACUACACACACUGAACCAACAGCCAACAUUGCUUCCACAGUUCUACAUGCUGCAAAACCACAGAAAACCCACAAUGGAGAACCAUCUAAGCCUUGGAAGCAAAUUAGCCUUGAAAGAAUACACAGAAAUUGUUAGUAACACCCAAGACUAUGCAUUUCUAACCAAUUAGGCUUGAGCAAAAAAUAUUUAGGGGGACUGGAUUUAUCUCCUUAAUAGAAGUUAUCCAAAGCCUGCAGAUUAAUCCUCUCAUCAUCAUGUGUGCUCAGUUUCCAGUGUAUUCAAUGAAAAUGCCAUCUAACUCUCCCAUAGAUUUUGAUCUCUCAGAGCAUUCAUUUCACCAAUGAGGAACCCUACAUAACUGUCUAUAAUAUGCUAGCUACGGAGAAGUCUUAUCUGCAGAAUAUAGAACACCAGAUAUGGACAGCUGGAAUAUAAUAUUGAAUUAGUAAUCACCUAUAUGUUUUUGUAAGAGAUGCUCUAGGGCAGUAUGCAUGCCUAAUAUGGGUUCCAUCCAAACAUCCAUUGAUAUCCAGAUACGAACAUCCAAUUAUAUUCUUGCAGCUUCUACUCUCUGCCCGGGUAAUAUAGGAACAAUACAAUUAAAGAAUUGGCGGUCAAUGGAAACUAGAGAAAAUAUUCAAAAUUCAGAGGCAUGAGAAUUAAAAAGACAUUUUGAGCACAACAAAAACCUAUCCAGAUCUAAAAUGCAAAGAAAAAUAUUAAAAACAUCAUAUUGAACACCAAAAGAAGCAUAAGAAUUAAGAAGCUCAGGCAGAAAAAGGAAUAAUACAAGCACUUUGGAAUGAGUGUAUCAACAAUAUAUAGUAAAAAAAUGUAAAUUACAUGAAACUUCUUGUAAAUUAGUGAAGGCACAUUAACCUCUUAAGAAGUAAGAGAGGAAUUGGAUAGCCUAAGGCACUCGCUUUGGCACCUCCGUAGACAGACAUCAUUCCAGUUGGGCACUUGAUGUUGAUUAACACAGACAGUUCUCGCGCAAGCAUCAGCACAAGCAUCAAGCUCAGAAACACCACAAACGGUGACACAGGUAUCAAUGGUAGGGUCUUUAGAUAAUGCACCAACCUUUUUUAACAUCCUCUUAGAAGUGCACACCCUCUCACAAACAAAAAUUUCAUCAGAG
rnacentral:misc_RNA from 1 species